UACGAAGGGGGCUAGCGUUGCUCGGAAUCACUGGGCGUAAAGGGCGCGUAGGCGGCCAGCACAAGUCAGUUGUGAAAUCUCCGAGCUUAACUCGGAACGGUCAACUGAUACUGUGCGGCUAGAGUGCAGAAGGGGCAACUGGAAUUCUUGGUGUAGCGGUGAAAUGCGUAGAUAUCAAGAGGAACACCUGCGGCGAAGGCGGGUUGCUGGGCUGACACUGACGCUGAGGCGCGAAAGCUAGGGGAGCGAACGGG
rnacentral:rRNA from 1 species